UACGUAGGGGGCAAGCGUUGUCCGGAAUCAUUGGGCGUAAAGCGCGUGUAGGCGGCUGGCUAAGUCCGCUCUGAAAGCCCGGGGCUCAACCCCGGGAGGCGGGUGGAUACUGGUCAGCUCGAGUCCGGAAGAGGAGUGUGGAAUUCCUGGUGUAGCGGUGAAAUGCGCAGAUAUCAGGAGGAACACCAAUGGCGAAGGCAGCACUCUGGGACGGUACUGACGCUGAGGCGCGAAAAGCGUGGGGGAGCAAACAGG
rnacentral:rRNA from 1 species